rnacentral:rRNA from 1 species
AAUGAACGCUAAUAGUAUGCUUUAUACAUGCAAGUUGAACGGGAGUAAUCUCGUAGCGUACGGGUGAGUAAUUGCGUAGAAUGUUACCUUUUAGUUGAGAACAAAGUACUUAUAUUAAGUAUUAAAUUCUCAAUAAUUAAUAAAAGUUAAAUUAACAUUUGUUAAUUUAGUCUGCUAAAAGAUAGGUCUGCGUAAAGAUUAGGCAGUUGGUAAAUGUAAUAGCUUACCAAACCUACGAUCUUUAGUUGGUCUUAGAGGAUGAACAACCACACUGGAACUGAAACAAGGUCCAGGCUAAUUUUUUGGCCAGCAGUAGGGAAUAUUGGACAAUGAACGAAAGUUUGAUCCAGCAAUACUAUCUGAAUGAUGACAACUGAUACUAGUUGUAAAAUUCUUUCGUUAAAGAUGAUAAUGACAUUAUUUAAAGAAGUAGUCCCGGCUAAUACUCGUGCCAGCAGCCGCGGUAAAACGAGGGGGACGAGCGUUAUUCGUCAUAACUGGGCGUAAAGCGUUCGUAGACUGUAGAGUAAGUUUUUUGUUAAAAAUUAAAGCCUAACUUUUAAAAAGCACUAAAUACUGCUUUACUUGAGUUUUAAUACAGGAGAAUAGAAUUUUAUUUGUAAGGGUAAAAUCUAACUAUAAAUAAAGGAAUGCCAGUAGCGAAGGCGAUUCUCUAGUAAAAACUGACGUUGAGGAACGAAAGUAUGGGUAGCAAACAGGAUUAGAAACCCUGGUAGUCCAUACUGUAAAUCAUGAGUGCUGUAAUUUAAUGGUAAUUACAAAUAAAUUACUUUAGAUUUUUAAGCUAACGCCAUAAGCGCUCCGCCUGAGAAGUACGAUCGCAAGGUUGGAACUCAAAGGAAUUGACGGGGGCCUAAAACUAGUGGUGGGGUAUGUGGUUUAAUGCGAUAAUCCGCGCAUAAUCUUACCAAUCUUUGACAUAAAAGAUUCUUAAUUUAUUUACAAAAAAGUAAAUUUACAUAGAUUCUUUUACAGGUGUUGCACGACUGUCAUCAGCUCGUGUCGUGAGAUUUUUGGUUCAGUCCUUUAACGGGCGCAACUCUUAUCUUUAAUUUACGUUUAACAAUUUUUAUAAGUUGUUUUUUUUAAUGCUUUAAAGAAACAGUCAAUGAUAAAUUGAAAAAAGGUGAGAACUAAGCCAAGUCAAUGUGACCCUUAUAGAUUUGGGCUACACACGUGCUACAAUGAAAAUCACAGAAAGUUACGAAAAUCCUUAAAGGUUUUUAGUUAAUCUUUAAAAAUUUUCCCAGUUCGGAUUGUAAACUGAAACUCGUUUACAUAAAGUUGGAAUCACUAGUAAUCGCAAAUCAGCAUGUUGCGGUGAACAUGUAAAUUGGCCUUGUACACACCGCCCGUCACAUGCAGAAAGUUAGUUUCACUUGAAGAUUCAACAUUAAAUUGUUGAAUCUAUUGAGAAACUAAUAAUUGGAUG